GCUAUCCACGUGCCAAUUGAUCCAAAAAUCCAAAUUUACUCCUGCGUACAUGAACAACCCAGAUUCGUUUCCCUUUUACGUGCGAUUGAACGGUCCUGAUGCAUUUGAUCAUGCGGUCCUAAUUUAUUUUCCAAAUAAGAUGGAUCUAACGGUGGAGAUUGGGUCGCGCAUCCUCGAACGGAUGGCCCGGAUUGAAGGAAUGAGGAACAUUUAAACUCAUCUUCCACCGAAGCCCUAACCUUAGCUGCAACCAUCUCGCUGAAGAAGAAGAAAAAGAGCGGCUAGAAGAGAAGCCGACC
rnacentral:lncRNA from 1 species